CCUAGCCAUCUGCCAGUCUAUGCGCUAGAGGCCCUGGCAGAGCAUUUCACCUACAUGAUCUAGAGGGUCAGCCUUUUCCUCGAAGACCACACACUGCUGCAGAUCCCUUAGGCGAUCCCAUUGCUUUACUGCCAGCACCACCCCCCGCUUCUACCCCACCAGCUACUUCCACCAUUGGUGCUCCUGAUCCACAACCAUCAAAGUCUACUCCGUCACCGAGCCUUCUUCUACACUGCUCACCUUGGAGAUGCAGCAUUUUGACAGACGCUUCAAUAAGCUAAAACUGCUAAUUACUACUAAUUCAAGGCAGACCCGUUCCAACAGCGAGCGACUUAAGUAGCGAGUACAAACAUUAGAGGACUGUGCUGCUCGCUUUUACACCAUUGAGAAUCGACCUGAAGACAUCAGGCUCGGCCGUCGACAGGAGAAACAAAGUAAGAGAAAGGGACAAGAAAUCUCAUGUCAGCGGCCGAGCCUGACGUCUUCCAGUCGGUCCUCAAUGGUGGAAAAGCGAGUAGCACAAUUCUCCUCCAAUGUUUGUACUUGCUGCUCAAGUCGCUCGAUGCUGGAAUAGGUUUGCCUCUGAUCAGCAGCGAUCUACAACUCAAGCUGAUCGAAAUGUCUAUCAAAAUGAUGCAUCAGCAUCUUCAAGGUGAGCGAUGUAGAAGAGGGCUUAGUGACUGGUGGAGUAGACUCGGAUGGCUGCGGAUCAGGAGUAACAGCGUUGGAAGUAGAUGGUGAGAUAGAAGCGGCGGGUGGUGCUGGCAGUUGAGCAAUGGGGUCGCCUACGGGAUCUGCAACAACAUGUGGUCUUCGAAGAAGAGGCUAACCCUCUGGAUCAAGUAAGUGAAUACUAUAUUAGGGCCUCUACUACAUAGACGCAUAGAUUGGCAGAUGGCUAGGUCUAUGCGGGUGUUAGCUCAAACUGUUUGGAAACCCAAUGCAUCUGGGUCAAAGCCAAAAUAUUCUGCAAUAGUGGUAAUGAGGCUACCCACAACUAUCCUUCCCACCUCAUAUCUCGAAAAAUGUGUUAGGUGGUUACAUAACCAAAAUUCGGUGUUAA